rnacentral:rRNA from 1 species
UGAGUAACACGUGAGUAACCUGCCCUUAACUCUGGGAUAAGCCUGGGAAACUGGGUCUAAUACCGGAUAUGACUCCUCAUCGCAUGGUGGGGGGUGGAAAGCUUUAUUGUGGUUUUGGAUGGACUCGCGGCCUAUCAGCUUGUUGGUGAGGUAAUGGCUUACCAAGGCGACAACGGGUAGCCGGCCUGAGAGGGUGACCGGCCACACUGGGACUGAAACACGGCCCAAACUCCUACGGGAGGCAGCAGUGGGGAAUAUUGCACAAUGGGCGCAAGCCUGAUGCACCGACCCCGCGUGAGGGAUGACGGCCUUCGGGUUGUAAACCUCUUUCAGUAGGGAAAAAGCGAAAGUGACGGUACCUGCAAAAAAAGCGCCGGCUAACUACGUGCCACCACCCGCGGUAAUACGUAGGGCGCAAGCGUUAUCCGGAAUUAUUGGGCGUAAAAAGCUCGUAGGCGGUUUGUCCCGUCUGCCGUGAAAGUCCGGGGCUCAACUCCGGAUCUGCGGUGGGUACGGGCAGACUAAAGUGAUGUAGGGAAGACUGGAAUUCCUGGUGUAGCGGUGAAAUGCGCAAAUAUCAGGAGGAACACCGAUGGCGAAGGCAGGUCUCUGGGCAUUAACUGACGCUGAGGAGCGAAAGCAUGGGGAGCGAACAGGAUUAGAUACCCUGGUAGUCCAUGCCGUAAACGUUGGGCACUAGGUGUGGGGGACAUUCCACGUUUUCCGCGCCGUAGCUAACGCAUUAAGUGCCCCGCCUGGGGAGUACGGCCGCAAGGCUAAAACUCAAAGGAAUUGACGGGGGCCCGCACAAGCGGCGGAGCAUGCGGAUUAAUUCGAUGCAACGCGAAGAACCUUACCAAGGCUUGACAUGAACCGGUAAUACCUGGAGACAGGUGCCCCGCUUGCGGUCGGUUUACAGGUGGUGCAUGGUUGUCGUCAGCUCGUGUCGUGAGAUGUUGGGUUAAGUCCCGCAACGAGCGCAACCCUCGUUCUAUGU